CAGUCUUCAGGGAGAGAGAAAAGCCCUGCUGGCUAGGAAAGGCUCAGAGGCUCUCGAGAGCACCGGAGGUUAACCCGCAGUGGCACUCGGCUGCUGCCCGACAGGUGACAGGAACCGUCAAACUCCACAUCAUGCGGUUUCCUUUCAAGCUGGGAAGCUGCUUUUCUUAGAGGCGCUCCCUCCAGGAUAUACAUUUUUUUAAUUUGCUGUGACUGGGACCCGGCUAAUGGGUGAGCAUUUAUUUUAGUACCUGGAGGAUCAGCAAGAGCACGGCAGCAAGUACAUGGCAGCAAGGGUGAGCAGUCGCUCCAUCAGAAUGGGAUAAUAUUGGAAAAAGAGGAGUAUUACUGGAGACCACAGGUGAUGGUUACUAUUACAGGCAUAAAGAGGCAGGUGGUCUGAUGGAGGAAGAAAAAGUGGAAUAUAUGAAAGAUAUUUAUUUAGAAUUUUCUGUGUUGGCAGCAGUCAGCACUGGCAAUAAAUACAAACUCUACUUGCCCAAAUCUUGGCUUGCUUUAGUUGUUGAUGCAAAUGAAGACAAGCUUGCCUACUUCAUCUUGCUGCUGCUGGAACUCUAAACGUGGCUGGGAGCUGAAGGGAGCUGGCUCCUGACGACUCAGACUCCAGAGCACGAAUCUCCAGACCUACGCAGACACCUAGCAGGGCUUCUGCUAUGUGACCAGGUCCUGGUUCAGGCACUUCUACAUAUGAAGCCUUCUCUGCUCUACAGUCUCCUCUUGUGUUUGCUACACAGAAUGACUCAAGGCUAGCACUGUCCAGCCAACUUUCUGCAGCAUAUUCUUUUCCUACCUGAAGGUCUGUUUCAAGUCCUUCAGAAGUCUGUUAUGCAAACAAGACUGCACUCUGGUGAUCCACAGCCACCAUAUCUUUGACUUGUGACAAGUUUCUCAUAAUUCCCAGUUCUGGUAACUCCAAAUGAAGGUUUGUUGCACACUAGGAUGAAGCUGAAGCAUGAGAAACCUUUGGACUUCAGCACAGGCCCAAAUAUAGAUACAGAAAGAAGAUAUAUUCAGGUUUGCAGAAAGCAUUUGCAAGAACAGGUCACAGAUGAGAAGAAAAUGACUGCUGGUGCAUCAGAGCACAAUGUGUGCUGGAACAUAAGCCAGGUUUUUCACCAAGGUGGUAUCUAGUUACCAGUGACCUCAGAACAGUAGAGGACACAUCAGAAAGCCAGGGAUUCAGGUUGGAAAAGGACAUAAAGCAGUUUGUAAACUGUGCUGGUGGUCCACACACAACAGCACUCCAAAGUAAUUUCUCAUACAAAAAUACACUACAGUGAAACCUAAUACACUUCCCAACUUACAUUGGUUCAAGUUGCAUCAUACCAGUGCAACUCAAAAAAAAAAAAAAAAAGAAAAGAAAAAAAGAGAAAGAAGCAAGAAUCCAAACUACAUCAGGGAAGCAAAAGAGAAAUGACAGCUUAUUCAUGCAGAUAGCUCCCAAAAUAAUCCUAAAUAUUUGGGGGAAAAAAAUCCACUAGAUCAGGUCCUAGGCUGGAAACUACAUUAUGCAAAUCUAUCAGUAUAAUUCUAUCUACUUCAUGUGUUUAAAUUCACUCCCAUUUCUGACGCUGCUAGGCUAGUUGAGCGUAACACAUGCACAGCUAUGACAUUAAAAAAAGAAAAGAAUCUUCAUGUAAACCACAGAUAGAUGAUCUCAUCCAGAUCCAGGUGUAUCAAUGAAAAAGGGUACUGCCUCCAAAAACUGCAAAUACAUACUUGAUAAAGACUUAAUCCUAUCAAAUUACGUCCAGAAAGCAAUACACAUGAGUUUACCUCACAUGACUUUAAAAAAAAAUUAAAAAAAGGUCAGCCAGGUCAAUUUAAAUAGCUGUAAAUGGUGGUUUGAACUAACAGAUUUUUUGAGAUGGAAUGUGGAUCAUUUAUAUAAACCAUCCUGCUGGUAGAUCAAAAUCCCCAGUGGAGUCAUGAGAAGAAACAGCUGGAGAACUUAACCUCUUCCACAAGCACAGCGGGAUUCAGGGGAAAACAUGGCCUUAUUUAAUUCUGAGAGGCAGUGUAACAUGAUGCAUUAAUGGCCCUACUGACAUUUUUAUGGUAGCAAAACCUACUUGUUUAGACAAAGGCAGCAACUUUCUAAAGCCCAGGAUUAAUAAUCUAGAACUUUUACCAGAGCUAAAUACACACAGAAAUCUAUUUAAAAUAGAAAUGUGACUGAUUAUUUCAGCCAUUUAAUACAGACUCCAGAUCAGCACAUGGGUGGGAGUCAAAGACAACAAGCCAUGACACACCUCAGAACUAAAAUCAUCCUGCAUCCCUAUUUUGACAUCUUCAGACAGUAAUCCAAGACAACAUAAUUCUCUUUUGCAAACUGGACAAGGUCACAGCUAACGAUCCACUUACACCACACAGUGAAUCAGCUGUAAAUAUGCCAUAGAUGUUCCCUAAAACCACACCUAGGCUAACAUUUUUGUCACAUACUAUUGCACUUUUGCAUUUGUAACACUGGAAGAAUCCAGCUUUUCUCCCACAUUAGCACCUUCCUUAGGUGAAAUGUACUAGGGUUAAUACAAUAGCAGGAGCGUUCAUAAAGAAAUCCAGUGGAAACAAGGGCAUGAAAAGCACUGGAAAAUAUCACACUAAAAAAAGAUCACAAAAGGAGAAAGCCUAUGAAGAAGGAAUGAAAGCACUCUUAAGAUGUGCUUUGAUGCUGUUGGAUUUCCUUUGUAGGCUCCACACACGGGUAUAACCUACAGCAAGACUACUGCAACUUGAAAGCUUUACAAACACAUGACACAAGCUGGCCCUGCCCUAGUAAUGGUGACUACACCCCAAGUAAACCAGGGACUAACACUGUCAUGAUUUCAAAUACUUCAGAUUUCUCUGCUACUCUUUAAUUUGCUUCUGGUUUAUAUGCUAAGGUUAUGCUCUCUGACCAUAUCUGAAGUCAUAUUAUACAAAGCUUUUACUUCUGUGGCCAACCCUGCAGCGAGGAUUUGCCACUCAGUGAGGUGAAAUGGAUGAAAAGCAACUUCAUCACCAUCUUUGUUCUUUUGCUUCACCCGAAACCUUCUCCAAACAACUCGUGUAGGAUUUGUGUGGAAGUUCUCUACGAAUUACUGUCAUCUUUUAACCGUGAGGUCCCACCAAAAACCUCACAAGAUUUAAGCAGCAUACUAAACCUUGUCCAGACUCUAAAAUGCUCUAAGAGCCAGCGUUGGACUUGUUCUCGUUAGUCCAGAGCACGAGUUAAGGAGUAUGCUGAAGAACAGUACUACUUCCCUCUCCUUUUAAGUCAGGAUCCUCCGAGCCCCCAACGACCUUAUGACCCAAAGCGUGCGGGAACACUGUGCUACACAGACUGCAGCUUGAACAACCACUUUGUAAAUGUGCUUCUUCCAGCAGUUUUGGACUGUUCAAAAUAAGGCCUUAAAGCGCUAUUUCACUCUGAA